rnacentral:rRNA from 1 species
AUUGAACGCUGGCGGCAUGCUUUACACAUGCAAGUCGAACGGUAACAGGCCUUCGGGCGCUGACGAGCGGCGAACGGGUGAGUAACACGUGAGCAAUCUGCCCCUGACUCUGGGAUAAGCGCUGGAAACGGCGUCUAAUACCGGAUACGAGCUGCGAAGGCAUCUUCAGCAGCUGGAAAGAAUUUCGGUCAGGGAUGAGCUCGCGGCCUAUCAGCUUGUUGGGGAGGUAAUGGCUCACCAAGGCGUCGACGGGUAGCCGGCCUGAGAGGGUGACCGGCCACACUGGGACUGAGACACGGCCCAGACUCCUCCGGGAGGCAGCAGUGGGGAAUAUUGCACAAUGGGCGCAAGCCUGAUGCAGCAACGCCGCGUGAGGGACGACGGCCUUCGGGUUGUAAACCUCUUUUAGCAGGGAAGAAGCGAAAGUGACGGUACCUGCAGAAAAAGCACCGGCUAACUACGUGCCAGCAGCCGCAGUAAUAC